AUGGAUCAAAUGAGUGAAUCUGAAACUAAGAAUAGUGACUUACUUGAGGGUAGUAGUGCCACAAAUGUACAGCAGUCACGUGAAGAGGAGCCACGAAGAAGUCAGAGAUCUCGAAAGCUUACUGAAAAGGCUCAGCAACUGCAUGAUGAUAAGUCAAGAAAACUUCAGCAUCGUUUCACUACAACUUAUGAUAAGUGGAAAGUAACCGCCAAGCAAGCUAAGAAAAUGAUAAAGGGAGCCCCCUCUGUUGAGGUUGUUAAGGAUUUGAUGUGUAAGUUAAGUUGUGCAUCAGCAAAUGUGAAAAACGCAUAUGAAGAUUUGCGCAAAUGUGCUUCCCCAGACAGUGAGAUCCGUCGUAGAGUAGACACCUGUGACGCGGUAUCUAAAAUAAUCUUGGACAAUGCAACCACUUAUCUUCAGAAUAAAGAUAACGAAGAUGUUCAGACAGAGGAUUUAGUCUGGCCUAAGUCUAGUUCAGUGUUUUCAUCUUCAGCUUCUCAAGGCAAAGGUAAGGGCUCUCAAAGAAGUUUAAGCUCUGCAAGCAGUUCCAGCAUAAAGUCACGAAAGUCAAGCCUUUUCUCCAUUAAGAGACAAGAGGCCGUAGCAGAGCUGGCUGCCACACAAGCUGCAUUAAAGGUCCUGCAGGAGAUAGAAUGUGAACAACAGGAACUUGAAAGCCUUGAAGAAGAGGAUAGAAAGAGGAUUGCAUUACAAGAGGAAGAGAAUGUGGCAAGAAAGAAAGCACUGGAAGAGAAGCGCAGACAAAUAGAGCGCUUACAGACUGUUAAGAAGCUAAGUGCGGCAAAAGCACGGUUCCAAGUUUAUGAACAAGAUGCAAGCUCAGAUGAGGAAAUAACAGAGUUACUUCAUAACCACGCAGCUCAGCAACAUAGAUCUCCAGGAGCUAUAAGGAGUCCACGUGAGCAUCCUGUGAUACACCAAGCAGAUAGUGUCACAGUCCUCGCUGAAGCAAUAGCAGAGUCUAUUAAUGUAAGCCGUCUCCCAGCACCUGAACCGUCUGUCUUCAUGGGAGACCCACUAAGAUACAAUGAUUGGAAGAUGUCAUUUCAAACCCUAAUAGGCAGGAAAAACAUUCCAGUAAAUGAAAGGGUCUAUUACCUUCGUAAAUAUGUUGGUGGACCUGCAAAAAGGGCCAUUGAAAGUUAUUUCCUAUUGGGAACGGAUGCAGCUUACAACUCAGCAUGGGAUAUCCUGGAAGAAAGAUUUGGAAGCUCAUUUGUGAUAGCUAAAGCUUUCAAGGAUAAGCUUGCAGCAUGGCCCAAAAUUGGACCCAAAGACAGUGUUGAGCUGAGGGAUUUUUCAGACUUUCUUAGAGGCUGCCAGGCUGCAAUGUCCCAGAUUAAGAGUCUGGAAGUAUUGAACGAUUGUGAUGAAAAUCAAAAACUUCUAACAAAACUGCCAGAUUGGCUGGUGACCAGUUGGAAUAGGAAGGUGAUUGAAAUAGAAGAAACGUGUAAUGUGUUUCCUACUUUCAGUCAGUUUGUGGAAUUCAUCACAAAGGAAGCAAAAAUAGCUUGCAAUCCAGUAACCUCUCUUCAUGCCCUGAAGUCCAAUGAUGUUGAAAAAAUAAAGACAACAAAGACUCGAAACAUUGGUGCAAAGGUGUUUGUGAGCAAAUUGGAAGAGAAUGUAGAACGCAAGAGAUACACCUUUUGUGAAAAAUGCAAUCAUGGUAUUCAGACAUGCUGGAAAUUCAAGGAAAAACCAGUUGCCGAACGUGUUAAAUUUGUCCAGACAAAGAAGUUGUGCUUUGGAUGUUUACAACCAGGACAUCAUUCAAAGACCUGCAAAAGGAGGAGUGUUUGUGAAACAUGUAAGGAAAAACACCCAACAUGUUUACAUGAAGAUCGCGAAAGAGCAACCAGAAGAGAGAAAAGCAGUGAUGAGCAUGGGGAAAGUGUAAAAAACUCAAAAUAUGCUAUGUCAACGGAAAGAACAGAGAGCAAACACACCCCUGAACCAUCAAAUGAAGCUACAUCAAACAGAGUAGUGCAAGGUAUGGACAGCAUGUACUCCUCCACAGUUGUUCCAGUUUGGUUAUCUGCAUCGAGUAACCCAGAGAAUGAAAUUCUUGUAUAUGCACUACUUGACAACCAAAGCGACACCACAUUCAUUAUGCAAGAUAAAGCAGAAGCUCUGGACAUGAAAGGGGAAGCUGUGCAGUUAAAACUCUCCACACUUUCAUCCAGAAAUACAAUCAUCCCAAGUCAAAGGUUAGUUGGACUGCAGGUGAGAGGUUUCUAUUCAUCAAAGAAGAUUUCUCUCCCUGUAACCUAUUCAAGAGAGUUCAUCCCUGCCAAUCUAAGUCACAUUCCUACACCAAAAACGGCAAGAGCUUGGCUACACCUAGAGCAUCUUGCUGAGGAAAUUGCUCCAUUGAUUGAGUGUGAUGUAGGACUUCUCAUAGGAUACAACUGUCCACAGGCUUUGCUACCCCGAGAGGUUGUCCCAGGUAAAGACAAUGAGCCAUUUGCUCAAAGGACAGAUCUUGGAUGGAGCAUAGUUGGUUGUGUUAGCCCGUGUGUCGACUAUGGUGAUGCUAUAGGAAGCAGUCACAAGAUUGUCAUGAAGUCAGUGAAACCUCAUCUCCAGACAUCUAAGAAGCUCACAAAUGAAGUGAAAUACAUAUGUCGAACCCAAGUUAAGGAGUUCAUUUCACCACCAGAUGUGCUGAGGAUGCUUGAGUCUGACUUCAGUGAGAGAAGAGUGGAGGAUGCUAAAUUAUCCCAGGAAGAUUUGCGUUUCCUAACCAUAAUGGAAGAAGGAAUCAAAAUUAAAGCAGAUGGUCACUGUGAAAUGCCGCUUCCCUUCAAGAAAGAUCGACCAAAUCUCCCAGACAAUAAGGUAUGUGCAGUUCACAGGCUUCGAUGCUUGAAAGGAAGAUUUGAAAAAGACAAACAAUACCAAAAGGACUACACGACCUUUAUGAGUGAAAUCAUAACAAAUGGGGAUGCAGAAAGGGUCCCAAUAGGAGAAAUUAACAACAGUCCUGUGUGGUACAUUCCUCAUCACGGGGUGUAUCACCCACACAAGCCAGGAAAAAUACGGGUUGUGUUCGACUGCUCAGCAAGAUAUGAAGGCGUGUCAUUAAAUGAUUACCUUCUCACUGGACCAGAAUUAACGAACAGCCUGAUAGGUGUUCUCUGCCGCUUUCGCAAGGGACAAGUUGCUAUAAUGUGUGAUAUUGAGCGUAUGUUCCAUCAGUUUCACGUCAAAGCAGAGGACCAGGACUACUUGAGAUUUCUCUGGUGGGACGAUGGAAACUUCCAGGCUCAAUCAUCAGUCUAUCGCAUGCGAGUGCACCUAUUUGGAGCUGCCUCUUCCCCUGGUUGUGCAAACUUUGGCUUGAAACAUGUUGCUGCCCAAGGACAUGGUCAUUACAGUGAAACAACCAUUCAGUUCAUUGAACGAAACUUUUACGUGGAUGAUGGGCUCACAAGUGUCGCAACCAAGGAGGAAGCCAUCAAGUUAGUAAAGGAAGCAAGGCAACUCUGCAGUGCUGGCAAACUGCGAAUUCACAAAUUCAUUUCCAACAAUCAUGAAGUACUUGCAUCCAUUCCAGAGAGUGAACGUGCAGAUUCAGUACGAAAUCGUGACUUGGAUCUUGGUGAGUCCCAAAUUGAGAGAGCUCUGGGAAUCAAAUGGUGCAUUGUUUCAGACCAGUUCCAUUUUAGAGUGAUUGUGGAAGAACGCCCACUUUCUAGAAGAGGAGUCUUAUCAACUGUGGCAUCCAUCUAUGACCCUCUUGGCUUUGUGGCACCAUUUGUUCUGGUUGGAAAGCAAAUACUCCAACAGAUGUGUCAAGACAAGGUUGGAUGGGAUGAGCCACUGUCAGAAGAGCUCAAACCACGGUGGGAGUCUUGGCUGUUAGAUUUAAAGAACCUGGCUGACAUCAAAAUUCAGCGCUGUCAUCUUCCAGAAGGUUUUGAGAAAGUUGAAAGAUAUGAGCUGCAUCAUUUCUCAGAUGCGAGUGUUAAAGGGUACGGUGAAUGUUCUUACUUGAGAGCAAUCAGUGUCUCAAACCAAGUCCACUGCUCUCUAGUUAUUGGCAAAGCCAGGGUGACUCCUACAAAGGUCACCACAGUACCCAGGCUUGAGCUAUCAGCAGCAGUUAUUGCCGUGCGAAUGAGUGAGCUGCUUAAAAGGGAGUUGGAAGUUCAAGCCAAAGAAUUCUUCUGGACAGAUUCGAAGGUUGUUCUUGGAUACAUCAACAACGAUGCUAGAAGGUUUCACAUAUUUGUGGCAAAUCGCAUUCAGCGUAUCCAAGAAGGUUCUAAUCCAGACCAAUGGAGAUAUGUGACUUCUGAGAACAAUCCUGCUGACCAUGCAUCACGGGGUCUGACAGCAAAGGGACUAAUUACUUCCAACUGGUUCACCGGUCCAGAUUUUCUCUGGCAGGAUAAACUUCCUGCUGAUGACAUUAAGGCGGGAGAGUUGGGAGCUGAAGAUCCAGAACUUCGUAAGACUUUUGUCCAUAAGACACUGACCACAGAAGAUUCGUUGCUCAAUCAUUUCUCAAGGUUCUCAAACUGGAUAAGGCUAGUUAAAGCCAUUGCACGACUCAUGCGAUGUGUCAAAGAGCUCAAGGGUCUGAUGGGCAGAACAAACGAAGUCACCAGUCUUGAGGAGAGGAAAGAGGCAUAG
ensembl:lncRNA